rnacentral:lncRNA from 1 species
UGGGAUGUCAUCCACGCCUGUCCCAAAGGUACCGAAUUUAUAAAUCAUCUCAGGUGCGGAGCAGGACAGGUUGAAAAUAGGAAUGACAUGAACCCGCGCGGAACAGCUGCCGGCGCGGUGUCCAGGGCGGCACCCCGCCCGGUCCCGGCCCCUCCAGCCCUGGGCCCGACCCCUACUACGCCUCUGCCUCGACGCGAACGCGGAGCCCGAGCGCGCGUCACGCCGUGUGGGGCCGAAGAGGCUGCUACCCAGAGGCGGAGUGCGGGCUCGCGAGGGUCCCCACCCGACUCUCGCUCCCGCCAGCACCUACGGACUCGCGUCCCCGCCGCGCGCCGACUCGGGAGCAGCACCGCCCCCGGCACAGGAGCCUCACGCGCCUCUUACCUAACAGGAAGUUGGGUGGAAGCAGCGCGGACCCACGGCGCACCGAACGCACUCCAACAGAACCCGACGCAGACACGCGCUUUCAACCGGCGGAGACACUGGCAGGGCCAGAAACGCGCGCAGCGGGGGCGGGAGGUCGGUAAGCUCCCCGCCCCUGCCCGAGACCCCGCCCCGGCCCGGCCCGGCCCCGCCUUUUUCUCUGCCUCCCCUCCCUGCACGUACGCGCCCCGCCCCUCGCGCGACGUUUUUUGUUGACCCGGAAACGGAUUAUCCGGAGCCAAGGUCCGCUCGGGGGUCAGCAGAUUAUGAUCCAGAGGCCAAGCCCAGCCCGUCUGCUUUUGUGUAUAAAGUUCUCAUGGAACAGAGCUGUGAGCCUGCCGUGUGUGGUCUACGGCUG